rnacentral:snRNA from 1 species
AUAAUUGUCAAUAAAAAAUUUUGAAAAAAAAAAAAUCUGUUCUUAUCAGUUUAAUAUCUGAUACGUCCCCUAUCCGGGGAACAUAUAUUAAAUUGAAUUUUGGAGCAAGGAGAUGGAAUAGGAGCUUGCUCCGUCCACUCCACGCAUCGACCUGGUAUUGCAUUACCUCCAGGAACGGUGCACCCCCU